rfam:Yersinia pestis CO92 complete genome
AACUUUUUGAAAAAAGUUCGCUUAUAUUUUUAUGAAAUUUAGCUGUAGUGAUUAUUUUGGAAUAGUUAAUUUAUUUUGGGAUGGUUGAUGCAUUUUGGAAUAGUUGAUGCAUGUCGUUGAUAGCUAAUUGACCAUCGCCAUAGACAAAAUAUCACCACAUGUGAGGUUUACGUUACCGGGUUCGUUCCCCAGGUAACGCAAAUUUAGAAUACCGUUUAAAGGUGAGUUUGCCUGUUCACUGGGCAAUACAUAAUAAAAUGGAGUACAUAUAAACAUGACCAACAUCACAAAGAAGAAUCUCAUU